rnacentral:rRNA from 1 species
GACGAACGCUGGCGGCGUGCUUAACACAUGCAAGUCGAACGAAGAGCGAUGGACGCUUGCUUCUAUCAAUCUUAGUGGCGAACGGGUGAGUAACGCGUAAUCAACCUGCCCUUCAGAGGGGGACAACAGUCGGAAACGACUGCUAAUACCGCAUACGAUCUAAUCUCGGCAUCGAGGAUAGAUGAAAGGUGGCCUCUACAUGUAAGCUAUCACUGAAGGAGGGGAUUGCGUCUGAUUAGCUAGUUGGAGGGGUAACGGCCCACCAAGGCGAUGAUCAGUAGCCGGUCUGAGAGGAUGAACGGCCACAUUGGGACUGAGACACGGCCCAGACUCCUACGGGAGGCAGCAGUGGGGAAUCUUCCGCAAUGGACGAAAGUCUGACGGAGCAACGCCGCGUGAGUGAUGACGGCCUUCGGGUUGUAAAGCUCUGUUAAUCGGGACGAAAGGCCUUCUUGCGAAUAGUGAGAAGGAUUGACGGUACCGGAAUAGAAAGCCACGGCUAACUACGUG